UUUAUGGAGAGUUUGAUCCUGGCUCAGGAUGAACGCUGGCGGCGUGCCUAAUACAUGCAAGUCGAGCGAACAGAUAAGGAGCUUGCUCCUUUGACGUUAGCGGCGGACGGGUGAGUAACACGUGGGUAACCUACCUAUAAGACUGGAAUAACUCCGGGAAACCGGGGCUAAUGCCGGAUAACAUGUUGAACCGCAUGGUUCUACAGUGAAAGACGGUCUUGCUGUCACUUAUAGAUGGACCCGCGCCGUAUUAGCUAGUUGGUGGGGUAACGGCCUACCAAGGCGACGAUACGUAGCCGACCUGAGAGGGUGAUCGGCCACACUGGAACUGAGACACGGUCCAGACUCCUACGGGAGGCAGCAGUAGGGAAUCUUCCGCAAUGGGCGAAAGCCUGACGGAGCAACGCCGCGUGAGUGAUGAAGGUCUUCGGAUCGUAAAGCUCUGUUGUUAGGGAAGAACAAAUGUGUAAGUAACUGUGCACAUCUUGACGGUACCUAACCAGAAAGCCACGGCUAACUACGUGCCAGCAGCCGCGGUAAUACGUAGGUGGCAAGCGUUAUCCGGAAUUAUUGGGCGUAAAGCGCGCGUAGGCGGUUUUUUAAGUCUGAUGUGAAAGCCCACGGCUCAACCGUGGAGGGUCAUUGGAAACUGGAAAACUUGAGUGCAGAAGAGGAAAGUGGAAUUCCAUGUGUAGCGGUGAAAUGCGCAGAGAUAUGGAGGAACACCAGUGGCGAAGGCGGCUUUCUGGUCUGCAACUGACGCUGAUGUGCGAAAGCGUGGGGAUCAAACAGGAUUAGAUACCCUGGUAGUCCACGCCGUAAACGAUGAGUGCUAAGUGUUAGGGGGUUUCCGCCCCUUAGUGCUGCAGCUAACGCAUUAAGCACUCCGCCUGGGGAGUACGGUCGCAAGACUGAAACUCAAAGGAAUUGACGGGGACCCGCACAAGCGGUGGAGCAUGUGGUUUAAUUCGAAGCAACGCGAAGAACCUUACCAAAUCUUGACAUCCUUUGACCGCUCUAGAGAUAGAGUUUUCCUCUUCGGAGGACAAAGUGACAGGUGGUGCAUGGUUGUCGUCAGCUCGUGUCGUGAGAUGUUGGGUUAAGUCCCGCAACGAGCGCAACCCUUGAACUUAGUUGCCAUCAUUCAGUUGGGCACUCUAAGUUGACUGCCGGUGACAA
rnacentral:rRNA from 1 species